rnacentral:rRNA from 1 species
AGCAGUCGCCGCGGGAAUACGUAGGUGGCAAGCGUUGUCCGGAAUUAUUGGGCGUAAAGGGCUCGCAGGCGGUUUCUUAAGUCUGAUGUGAAAGCCUCCGGCUCAACCGGGGAGGGUCAUUGGAAACUGGGAAACUUGAGUGCAGAAGAGGAGAGUGGAAUUCCACGUGUAGCGGUGAAAUGCGUAGAGAUGUGGAGGAACACCAGUGGCGAAGGCGACUCUCUGGUCUGUAACUGACGCUGAGGAGCGAAAGCGUGGGGAGCAAAUGGGAUUAGAUACCCCUGUAGUCCCUGUCUCUUAUAC